rnacentral:lncRNA from 1 species
UAUGCCGAUCCCUUGCUUCGCGCGCGAGUUUCCCGAUAGGGUUUUUUUUGCGGAGUUUGUGUCUUUUUAGCUUUGGGUUCGAUGUUUUUGUUCGAUUAAUCGUUUUGUAGGGAUAAAAAAAAGCCUCAUAACAAUAGGAACGGGAAAAAAAAUUGCUAACCGAAAUGAAUCCGCCCAAAAAAUUAAAAACCUACGCGCGAGUUUGACUCGAAAGUAUGGGGUGUGACAACUUUCUUUAUUGACACGACAGCAAUGUUGGGUCUUGUAUGUUGACAUAUUGGUAUAGCUGAUGUGAUAUUUCCACCAAUCAACAAAUUCUCAUGAAACAUUUUAAUGGCAUUAAAAUAGAUUCUUGAAUGUGGAGGGAACUCUUAUGAUGCAGUGUCAUUGGCUGAGAAAUCGGCUCUUUUUUUGCAACACAAAUUCAAUCUAUCAAAAUAGCAACCAUGGACGGAUAUCAACCUGAUGUGCAGCUCUCAGAUGAUCUUUAUGAUACCAAGAGACUAAACACAGAGAACAUUCCUUGUGUACUGACUUUGAUGAAGAUUGGAAACCAUUUCCUAGUAGUUCCAACACCAAAAUGAAAAUGCUGCAGCUUUUCUGGUAUUAAAAUGAUUACUGCUGUUAGGAAAAUUGACAGUUGUAAGACAUCAGCUAUGAUAUUCUUAAAGAUGGAACUUUUAGAGAAAUAACAUUUAAGCGAUUAUAUAAAUCUUCCAAGAGUUCACCUUUACUUAUCUCUUCGUAACCUAGGUUGACUAUAUAAUUUCUUUACCAUCGCCCCUUGUCUGAAUUAAAGUGCUUUUGGUAUAAAAAAGAAACGGCAAAUAAAGCGGCAAUUCAAGCA